AAGAGUAAAGAAAUAAGAAUAAUAUAGAAAAGGGGGAUUUGAUUCACAAUUUACAUGAAAAAAAGAGAGGAAAACAUUGUUAUGAACUUCAUAUGUUUUCCUUUUGUACAGAUUCCAUAAGGAAAUAAA